AACGCGAAGAACCUUACCAGAUCUUGAGAUCCAGAUGAAUACGUGGUAAUGCAUGUAGUCCUUCGGGACAUCUGAGACAGGUGGUGCAUGGUUGUCGUCAGCUCGUGUCGUGAGAUGUUGGGUUAAGUCCCGCAACGAGCGCAACCCUUGCCCUUAGUAGCCAGCACGUCAUGGUGGGCACUCUACGGGGACUGCCGGGGUCAACCCGGAGGAAGGUGGGGAUGACGUCAAAUCAUCAUGCCCCUUAUGUCUUGGGCUACACACGUGCUACAAUGGCGCACACAGAGGGAAGCGAACCCGCGAGGGGGAGCAAAUCCCAAAAAAGGCGUCUCAGUUCGGACUGCAGCCUGCAACCCGGCUGCACGAAGUUGGAAUCGCUAGUAAUCGCAAAUCAGAAUGUUGCGGUGAAUACGUUCCCGGGUCUUGUACACACCG
rnacentral:rRNA from 1 species